CAGAAGAAGCACCGGCUAACUCCGUGCCAGCAGCCGCGGUAAUACGGAGGGUGCGAGCGUUAAUCGGAAUUACUGGGCGUAAAGCGCAUGCAGGCGGCCUGUUAAGUCAGAUGUGAAAGCCCCGGGGCUUAACCUCGGAAUUGCAUUUGAAACUGGCAGGCUAGAGUCUUGUAGAGGGGGUAGAAUUUCAGGUGUAGCGGUGAAAUGCGUAGAGAUCUGAAGGAAUACCAGUGGCGAAGGCGGCCCCCUGGACAAAGACUGACGCUCAGAUGCGAAAGCGUGGGGAGCAAACAGGAUUAGAUACCCUGGGAG
rnacentral:rRNA from 1 species